AUGCUUUUGUUUAGAGUAGUUUUGGAUAAGAAAAUUUGCACUCCAGAUCCGUCUAACUCACAUUUAAAAUUGAAAUCAAAAUGAAUUACAAUGAAAGUUGAGAUAGUCACAUUGUUCGAUAUCUUUAGUUUGUAAUUAGAAUAUGAAUUAUUAUAGUAUAAAAAAAAUUAUCAUUAAUCUCACAUUGAUCGUAAAUCAAGAGAGACUCUGAUUUAUAUAGAACUAAUCGAAAAGC
rnacentral:lncRNA from 1 species